rnacentral:lncRNA from 1 species
GCCUCGUACCAGAGAUGCCAUGUGAAUCAUUUGGAAAAUAGAAUGCAGCAGCCGUGUACAGGAUCUUUUAAAUGACAAACAAAAUUAUCAUGUGUUCAAUCAAUGUACUGGAAAAUAGAGCGUAUGAUUUUU